UACCUUCAUCCCAUCUGAUGGCGGGACUCAGCCCAGGGAUAAUUCUGUGCCCCUGUGAGACAGCUUAGAUGGUGACAAGCUACAGAUAUUGAAGCCAGUGGGACCUGGGUUUGAAGUCUGACUCUGCCAUUUAGUGAAAGACCUUGAGCAAAACUCACUGGCCCUGGAGCCAAUCUUGAGCAGAGCCUAUAAGGCAGAAGGAUCCAGACUCUGAAUAACCAGACAUGCCUGCAGGAGACCAUAUCAGUUGGCCACCUACCACCCCCAGCCCAGAGGGAGAAAGAGAAUCCCUGCAGCCCCAGGGAAAAGCCCCUGGGAAGCUACUACCCAGAGGAUGUCCAGAGCCCCCAGCUUUUCUACUUGUCUGCACAUAUUAAGAAAGGACGGACGACACGCAGAGGAGAGCCACUUUUACAGACAGAUGAUUAUAAUAAAAUACUGACCCCAGUUUUAACUGGAUGUGUUGCCUCCUGAG